rnacentral:rRNA from 1 species
AGUGAACGCUGGCGGCAUGCCUAACACAUGCAAGUCGAACGGCAGCACAGUAAGAGCUUGCUCUUACGGGUGGCGAGUGGCGGACGGGUGAGGAAUACAUCGGAAUCUACUUUUUCGUGGGGGAUAACGUAGGGAAACUUACGCUAAUACCGCAUACGACCUCCGGGUGAAAGCAGGGGAUCUUCGGACCUUUCGCGAUUGAAUGAGCCGAUGUCGGAUUAGCUAGUUGGCGGGGUAAAGGCCCACCAAGGCGACGAUCCGUAGCUGGUCCGAGAGGAUGAUCAGCCACACUGGAAGUGAGACACGGCACAGACUCCUACGGGAGGCAGCGGUGGGGAAUAUUGGACAAUGGGCGCAAGCCUGAUCCAGCCAUACCGCGUGGGUGCAGAAGGCCUUCGGGUUGUAAAGCGCUUUUGUUGGGAAAGAAAAGCAGCAGGUUAAUACGCCGCUGUUCUGACGGUACCGAAAGAAUAAGCACCGGCUAACUUCGU